rnacentral:rRNA from 1 species
UACGGAGGGUGCGAGCGUUAUCCGGAAUUACUGGGUUUAAAGGGUGCGUAGGCGGCCCUGUAAGUCAGGAGUGAAAGUUUGCGGCUCAACCGUAAAAUUGCUUUUGAUACUGCGGGGCUAGAAUUAGGAUGAGGUCAGCGGAAUGUGGCAUGUAGCGGUGAAAUGCGUAGAUAUUACAAGGAACACCAAUGGCGAAGGCAGCUUGCUGGGCUUCUUCUGACACUGAGGUACGAAAGCGUGGGGAGCAAACAGG